GACGUAGGAUCCGAGCGUUGUCCGGAGUUACUGGGCGUAAAGCGCGCGCAGGCGGACACGCGCAUCGGCGGUGAAAGCCCCCCGCUCAACGGGGGAGGGUCCGUCGAGAUGGCGUGUCUGGAGGCAGGGAGAGGCCAGUGGAAUUCCGGGUGUAGUGGUGAAAUUCGUAGAUAUUGGGAAGAACACCGGUGGCGAAGGCGGCGCUCUGGACCGAGACUGACGCUGAGGUGCGAAAGCGUGGGGAGCAAACAGG
rnacentral:rRNA from 1 species